rnacentral:rRNA from 1 species
CGCAGCCGCGGUAAUUCCAGCUCCAAUAGCGUAUAUUAAAGUUGUUGCAGUUAAAAAGCUCGUAGUUGAAUUUCGGGAUCAAUUUAUUGGUCGUGCCAACGGUACGCACUGGUACAAUUGGUUUCUCCCUUCUGACGAAGCAUGAUGUCAUUAACUUGAUGUCGUGGGGAAUCAGGACUGUUACUUUGAAAAAUUAGAGUGUUUAAAGCAGGCUUUGGCUUGAAUACAUUAGCAUGGAAUAAUGAAAUAGGACGUUUGAUCUUAUUUCGUUGGUUUCUAAGAUCGACGUAAUGAUUAAUAGGGAUAGUUGGGGCAUUAGUAUUCAAUUGUCAGAGGUGAAAUUCUUGGAUUUAUUGAAGACUAACUACUGCGAAAGCAUUUGCCAAGGAUGUUUUCAUUAAUCAAGAACGAAAGUUAGGGGAUCGAAGAC